UGGGGAAUAUUGCACAAUGGGCGCAAGCCUGAUGCAGCGACGCCGCGUGAGGGAUGACGGCCUUCGGGUUGUAAACCUCUUUCAGCAGGGACGAAGCGCAAGUGACGGUACCUGCAGAAGAAGCACCGGCCAACUACGUGCCAGCAGCCGCGGUAAUACGUAGGGUGCGAGCGUUGUCCGGAAUUACUGGGCGUAAAGAGCUCGUAGGCGGUUUGUCGCGUCGUCUGUGAAAUUCUGCAGCUUAACUGCAGGCGUGCAGGCGAUACGGGCAGACUUGAGUACUACAGGGGAGACUGGAAUUCCUGGUGUAGCGGUGAAAUGCGUAGAUAUCAGGAGGAACACCGGUGGCGAAGGCGGGUCUCUGGGUAGUAACUGACGCUGAGGAGCGAAAGCGUGGGUAGCGAACAGGAUUAGAUACCCUGGUAGUCCACGCCGUAAACGGUGGGUACUAGGUGUGGGUUCCAUUUCACGGGAUCCGUGCCGUAGCUAACGCAUUAAGUACCCCGCCUGGGGAGUACGGCCGCAAGGCUAAAACUUAAAUGAAUUGACGGGGUCAUAGCUGUUUCC
rnacentral:rRNA from 1 species